rnacentral:rRNA from 1 species
GCGGCCCCAAGUCAGGCGUGACUACCCGCUAAGUU